GGAGGAAAGCAGGGGAUCGCAAGACCUUGCGCUUUUGGAGCGGCCGAUGUCUGAUUAGCUAGUUGGUGAGGUAAAGGCUUACCAAGGCUUCGAUCAGUAGCUGGUCUGAGAGGACGACCAGCCACACUGGGACUGAGACACGGCCCAGACUCCUACGGGAGGCAGCAGUGGGGAAUUUUGGACAAUGGGGGAAACCCUGAUCCAGCCAUGCCGCGUGAGUGAAGAAGGCCUUCGGGUUGUAAAGCUCUUUCAGCCGGAACGAAAAGGUUACGGUUAAUACCCGUGACUAAUGACGGUACCGGAAGAAGAAGCACCGGCUAACUACGUGCCAGCAGCCGCGGUAAUACGUAGGGUGCGAGCGUUAAUCGGAAUUACUGGGCGUAAAGCGUGCGCAGGCGGUUUUGUAAGUCAGAUGUGAAAUCCCCGGGCUCAACCUGGGAACUGCGUUUGAAACUACAAAGCUAG
rnacentral:rRNA from 1 species